rnacentral:lncRNA from 1 species
GGUUUGUCACAGAUACACUAAUCAUAUAAAUGUAACUCAUACAUUUACAAGGCUAUACAUCACACUGCAGACUGAAAUCUAAAUUUAAAGAAAUAAACUGGAGCUUGGGGAUUCUGCUUUUGCAUCUUCCUCGUUUUCUCUUGCCGCUGCCAAGUAAGAAGUGCCUUUCACCUCACGCCAUGUUUCUGAGGCCUCCCCAGCCAUGUGGAACUGCAAGUCCAGUUAAACCUCUUUUUCUUCUCAGGUUCCAAAAUUAUUUUAGGCAUGGGAUCAAAGAAGAAACUUCUUUGUAGCAGCAUCCCCAGUACUAGGACUUUUUGUCUCUGCAUGGAAAUCUGAAUAUAUUUAUAUGUUGGAGUGACAUCUCCACAGGAAGCCUAGAGAUCUAUCUGUUUGCUACAUGUCACCAAAGUUAAAGUCGCUACCUUAAUGAGCAGACAGGAUGCCAUCAUCUCCGACCUGAAUGACAAUAACCUCCAAACCAGCCUUUGCAUACUCCUUCCUGCAGCUCUGCAGUCCACUUCCACAGACCAGCCAAUUGAAUCUCCUUAUAGAUUCAUAAUGGCCAUCAGCACAAAGAUGUUUUAUCUGCACUCAACCAGCCAUGUUUCAUGAUGGCAUCAAAAUGUGUGCUGGAGUUUGCUGGGGGUCCACUCUAGAUCCUGUUUGCCUGAGUAUCACCAGCAGACACUGCAGAACAGCAAAGAUUGCUGCCUGCUCUUUCCUCUGGAAGCUUCGUCCC